CGAGCCGGGCGGACGGCCGCGUGGAGAUCUCCGGAUCUCCCCGAGGAACGUCCGGGCUCCACAGGGCAAGGUGGUGGCUAACGGCCACCCGGGGUGACCCGCGGGACAGUGCCACAGAAAACAGACCGCCGGGGACUUCGGUUCCCGGUAAGGGUGAAACGGUGGUGUAAGAGACCACCAGCGCCUGAGGUGACUCAGGCGGCUAGGUAAACCCCACCUGGAGCAAGGUCAAGAGGGGCCGUCGCGAGGCGGCCCUGCGCGGACGAUCGAGGGCUGCCCGCCCGAGUCCGCGGGUAGACCGCACGAGGCCGGCGGCAACGCCGGUCCUAGAUGGAUGGCCGUCGCCCCGACGACCGCGAGGUCCCGGGGCACAGAACCCGGCGUACAGCCCGACUCGUCUG
rfam:Streptomyces agglomeratus strain 6-3-2 1, whole genome shotgun sequence.